CCAAAAUUGCGUUAGGGAUUGCAGAGUAAAGCCCACAGCCUUUAGGCGAGGACUUGGAGCGUAAAGCCCGACCGUCC
rnacentral:ncRNA from 1 species